rnacentral:rRNA from 1 species
AGAGUUUGAUCCUGGCUCAGGACGAACGCUGGCGGCGUGCCUAACACAUGCAAGUCGAGCGGAGACAGUGAGUAGCUUGCUACGAGCUGUUUUAGCGGCGGACGGGUGAGUAACGCGUGAGCAACCUUUCCCAGACAGGGGAAUAACACACCGAAAGGUGUACUAAUACCGCAUAAGACCACGGAAUCACAUGGUUCUGGGGUAAAAGAAUUAUCGGUUUGGGGUGGGCUCGCGUCCGAUUAGGUAGUUGGUGAGGUAACGGCCCACCAAGCCGACGAUCGGUAGCCGACCUGAGAGGGUGAUCGGCCACAUUGGGACUGAGACACGGCCCAAACUCCUACGGGAGGCAGCAGUGGGGAAUAUUGGGCAAUGGAGGAAACUCUGACCCAGCAACGCCGCGUGGAGGAAGAAGGUUUUCGGAUCGUAAACUCCUGUCCUUGGAGACGAGUAGAAGACGGUAUCCAAGGAGGAAGCCCCGGCUAACUACGUGCCAGCAGCCGCGGUAAUACGUAGGGGGCAAGCGUUGUCCGGAAUAAUUGGGCGUAAAGGGCGCGUAGGCGGCUCGGUAAGUCUGGAGUGAAAGUCCUGCUUUUAAGGUGGGAAUUGCUUUGGAUACUGUCGGGCUUGAGUGCAGGAGAGGUUAGUGGAAUUCCCAGUGUAGCGGUGAAAUGCGUAGAGAUUGGGAGGAACACCAGUGGCGAAGGCGACUAACUGGACUGUAACUGACGCUGAGGCGCGAAAGUGUGGGGAGCAAACAGGAUUAGAUACCCUGGUAGUCCACACUGUAAACGAUGAAUGCUAGGUGUAGGGGGUAUCGACCCCUUCUGUGCCGCAGUCAACACAAUAAGCAUUCCGCCUGGGGAGUACGGCCGCAAGGUUGAAACUCAAAGGAAUUGACGGGGGCCCGCAC